rnacentral:rRNA from 1 species
UGGGGAAUAUUGCACAAUGGACGGAAGUCUGAUGCAGCAACGCCGCGUGCGGGAUGACGGCCUUCGGGUUGUAAACCGCUUUUUCUCAUGACGAAGUUUUUUGACGGUAGUGGGGGAAGAAGCACCGGCUAACUACGUGCCAGCAGCCGCGGUGAUACGUAGGGUGCGAGCGUUGUCCGGAAUUAUUGGGCGUAAAGAGCUUGUAGGCGGUUUGUCGCGUCGAUAGUGCAAACUCAGUGCUUAACGCUGAGCCUGCUGUUGAUACGGGCAGACUAGAGGAAGGUAGGGGAGAAUGGAAUUCCCGGUGGAGCGGUGGAAUGCGCAGAUAUCGGGAGGAACACCGGUGGCGAAGGCGGUUCUCUGGGCCGUUCCUGACGCUGAGAAGCGAAAGCGUGGGGAGCGAACAGG